AGAGAGAGAGAGAGAGAGAGAAGGUAGAAUUGGAGAAUUCAUUUGAUUCUGGAAUUGGGUAUACAAGGCAGUCAUUCAUAUGUGAUACCUAUUGAAGAGUUAAAAUACCCACAAAUCCCUGUAUAGUAAUAAUGGAGAAGGUGUACAAUGUAAUAAUGUAAUAUAUGAUGAAACAAUUGGGAUUCAUUUUAUUCACUUAUCUGAAUAGGAUAUUUCAUGCUUGCAUAAUGUUUUCAUAUGUCUAUUAGGAUGUUCUAUUUCUAGGUUAAACUAAUUGGAUCUUGUAAAUUUUGCAGCUUACUGUGUAGUUGCAGUUGAGU
rnacentral:misc_RNA from 1 species